GACAAUCGCCGCCUGUUUUUGAAGCAGGGGGAGGAAAGUCCGGGCUCCAUAGAGCAGGAUGCCGGUUAACGGCCGGCCGCCGCGAGGCGAGGAACAGGGCCACAGAGACGAGCGUAUUAAGUUACGGUGAAACGCGGUAACCUCCAUCCGGAGCAAGACCAAAUAGGCAGGCGAUGAUGCUGCUCGUUGAGCCUGCGGGUAGGUCGCUUGAGCGCAUGGGCGACCGUGCGUCUAGAGGAAUGAUUGUCCACGACAGAACCCGG
rnacentral:RNase_P_RNA from 2 species